GGCCCAGAUAGCUCAGUUGGUAGAGCAGCUGACUCUUAAUCAGCGGGUCACAGGUUCGAUCCCUGUCGCACCCACCA
rnacentral:tRNA from 1 species